CUGGGCUGCGACUUGAAAGAGUUUAGGCAGCAACAGAGUGACCCUGGGGGUGCUCUUGACCGACAGCCGCACCCCCGGCGUCUAGGACCUCCGAGCAGGGAUGCAUCUGGAGGUCUAGGGAAGCACUUCCACCCCCUCCUCUCCUCAAUCCUGGCAGGAUGGCUACUGCUGCUUCAAGACAGUGACGUUUCUCUCCGGUCAGCUGUCAGGAGCGCUGGUGAGCUUCCUACUGUGCCACAAGCUGGGUCUUACUGGGGAUCUGGCCAGCCUUGGGGGCCCUUGGAGCCCUGGCCCAGUGGAAGCUCGUGCCUGAGGAACAUGGAGGCCACGCUAAUGGGUCUGUUCCUGGUUUCCCAGAUGCAUAAAGGAAGACAUAUCCCUCCCCUGGGCAGCAAGGCUACAAUGGGAGGGAGGGAGAACAUGGGAGCAUGUGAAUAAAAUGGCAUUAAAUACUGAA
ensembl:lncRNA TMEM198B transmembrane protein 198B (pseudogene)